rnacentral:rRNA from 1 species
GACGAAGGGGGCUAGCGUUGUUCGGAAUUACUGGGCGUAAAGCGCGCGUAGGCGGAUCUGCAAGUCGGGGGUGAAAUCCCGAGGCUCAACCUCGGAACUGCCUUCGAUACUGCGGGUCUCGAGUCCGGGAGAGGUGAGUGGAAUUCCUAGUGUAGAGGUGAAAUUCGUAGAUAUUAGGAAGAACACCAGUGGCGAAGGCGGCUCACUGGCCCGGUACUGACGCUGAGGCGCGAAAGCGUGGGGAGCAAACAGG